UAGAGUUUGAUCCUGGCUCAGGAUGAACGCUGGCGGCAUGCCUAAGACAUGCAAGUCGAACGAGGUGUCCCAAUGAAGAUGAAGUGCUUGCACAGAUUUGGACUUGGAUUCACACCUAGUGGCGGACGGGUGAGUAACACGUGGGUGAUCUGCCCUUAAGACUGGGAUACCUAUUGGAAACGAUAGUUAAUACCGGAUAACACAUUAAUUCGUUUUAAUGUUGAAAGGAGCCUUUAAAGCUCUGCUUUUGGAUGAGCCUGCGGUGUAUUAGAUAGUUGGUGGGGUAAUGGCCUACCAAGUCGACGAUGCAUAGCCGAACUGAGAGGUUGAUCGGCCACAUUGGGACUGAGACACGGCCCAAACUCCUACGGGAGACAGCAGUUAGGAAUAUUCGUCAAUGGGGGAAACCCUGAACGAGCAAUGCCGCGUGAACGAUGAAGGCCCUAUGGGUUGUAAAGUUCUGUUGCAUGGGAAGAACGGUUAGGAUAGGAAAUGAUCUUAAUGUGACGGUACCAUGCCAGAAAGCUCCGGCUAACUACGUGCCAGCAGCCGCGGUAAUACGUAGGGAGCGAGCGUUAUCCGGAUUUAUUGGGCGUAAAGGGUGCGUAGGCGGUUUGUUAAGUAUAAAAUUAAAGCCUGAGGCUUAACCUCAGUUCGUUUUAUAAACUGGCAGACUAGAGUAUGGCAGAGGUAAACGGAAUUUCUAGUGUAGCGGUUAAAUGCGUAGAUAUUAGAAAGAACACCAGUGGCGAAGGCGGUUUACUGGGCCAUAACUGACGCUGAGGCACGAAAGCGUGGGGAGCAAAUAGGAUUAGAUACCCUAGUAGUCCACGCAGUAAACGAUGAGUACUAAGUGUUGGGGCAACCCAGUGCUGAAGUUAACACAUUAAGUACUCCG
rnacentral:rRNA from 1 species